AGCAAACUGAGCAGAAAAACAUUCAGACACCGUGACCACAGAGUCAAACCUUACAACAGAGCUACGCCAGAGCACCGUGUGUGUGCAGAAGCAGGGCCGUCCGGAAUAACGCACACUACAAGACUGCAAUUCUUGAACCGUUCUUCAACAAACCAGCAACACCCGCGAGUGAGUGGCUGCCUCGUGACUUCAGUCAUGUCUUUGAGUGCAUCAGACUUCGAUCUAGGUCACAUACCCACCACACCAGAAUGUAUCCGAAAAAGCGACGAGUCACACAUAGAUUUGGAAGAAGGUGGCAGAACAGACUCUCAAAUAUCAGCGGCGUGUGGCGCUUACAUGAAGGUUGCAGUCGCACAGCCUGCUGAACAGAGUCAUACAGAUCAAAUCAUUGAUCAAUUACGUUCGAUUGAAGCUAAACUCGACCAACACCACCAAGCCGUACAGGCACACAUGCAAGAAAUAACCGAUACUCUAACUGGGAUUACCGAAGAAAUAAACAAAAUGUUUACUGCAUUAGACAUGCUCACCAGAAGUCUAAUGCAAAAGUCUAAUGGUCUGACUUUUAAAACCCAGACCAUGGACCCUCCUAAUAAAUUAUU